AAAGAGUAAAUAUUUUAUUUGCACAAUUGAUACCAGUUUAGUACAUUUGAAGAGAGACAAUCUAUCUUAACAAGAGGUUUGAAGCAUGGACAUGUACGGGCUGUGCAGGGAACAACCCAACAGUUUCAGCAUGUGAGCCUCCAGCAAUGAAGAUACAUAUCAGCCUGGACUGUUGUUCCGUUUGCUGAUCAUAUGAAUUGUAAGGUUAACGAGAAAUCUGCAUAACGUCUAGAAUCCAUUCUUUCCUUUCAGAUUGAUUACUGAUAGUUCCUGUUCGACGUAGUCGCCAGCACAGAUUGGUGGAUAACUAUGAGCAUCGGAUGCUUCAGCAAAGUGGCCCAAUGGCUUAAGGGUUGCAUCAGAAGCAAUGUCACUUACGGUUGAUGAAACCCUCCACAAGCUUCUAUUUUGCUCUCUUGCUAAUGCUAUUGCCUCUAGUGUUCUCUUGGUUACCACUACCUCAUGCAUUCCAGCUAAACACUCCCCACCAGUAAGCCAUUCCAGCUGCAGUUAAAGAACAUAAAAAGACAGCCAACAGGGACCUUAACUUCCAUCUUUUUGCCGUUCCUUAGCCAGAUGUUCAGGCCUGGAAAUCUACUUCGACCAUGUAUGGUCAGGAAAUUGAGAUCAUAAUGGAACCCAGCAAAAACAGUGCCCUCAGAACCAUGCCGCUCAAGGUCACUUCCAGUUGGUGCUAGGAGGUGUGGUCCCU
rnacentral:sRNA from 1 species